rnacentral:misc_RNA from 1 species
GAUGAAGAACGCAGCGAAAUGCGAUAAGUAAUGUGAAUCGCAGAAUUCAGUGAAUCAUCGAAUCUUUGAACGCACAUUGCGCCCGGUAGUAAUCUGCCGGGCAUGCCUGUCCGAGCGUCAUUUCAACCCUCGAACCACUAUUCGCGUAGCUGGAUCGGUGUUGGGGCACUACGGUGGAAUACCCGUAGGCCCCGAAAUGAAGUGGCGGUCCCGCCGCGGCGCCCCCAUGCGUAGUAACAUCUCGUCUCGCAUCGGGUCCCGGCGGAGGCCUGCCGUCAAGCCUAUUUUCUAAUUACAGAUGGUUUGACCUCGGAUCAGGUAGGGUCACCCGCUGAACUUAAGCAUAUCAAUAAGCGGAGGA